ensembl:lincRNA
ACCGUUAAAGCCUGGGGCCGCGCCCACCGGAAGCGACUGAACGGCGCGGUCGGCCGGGUACCGGGCGGUCGCUGGGGGACCUUGGAGGCCACGUGGUUCGACUUCCCGUGCGCGGUGCGGGCACUGACGCCCAGAGAGGGUAUGGAACUGCCCAAGGUCACACAGCCUUUCGUGCCUUGGCCGGCCCUGCUGCCCUGGGCUCUCCAGCCGACUUCCCCUUCGGGGAGCCCCUCGUUACGUAGAGUAGGGUUAGAGCCCGUCCCUAGUUACCGGGUACUGACGGGAUCGAACCGUUUCAUCCCUACCCCGCCAGACCUUCCUUAUAAGCCACGAUCUUGAACCAGAGAAAAAUGUGCACAGACAAAAAGGAUCGUGGUUUAUGGCCUCUUUCAGGCCUCGGCUCUGGAAGAACUCAGGAAAGCCUUUUUAUUUGUAUCAUUUAUUUACUUUCGAGACAGGGGCUCACCACGUAGCCCAGGCUGGCCUCGGACUUGGCAGCGAUUCUGCAGCGUCAGCGUCCCAAGCGCUGGGAUUCGGCGCCACCACGCCCAGAAAAAGCCAUUUCUUAAUGCCUGUCAAGAAAAUCCUGCCUGCAGUUACUUGACUUCCCCUGGAGCAGGUACAUGGGCUCCAGGUCCAUAUAUCACCCUGUAUCGUACACCUCCUAUCGAUCCCAGACUCCCACUGGCCCAGUCUCCUGAGUGGAGGCUGCACACCCCUGCAGAGAGAAAGCUCACCCUUCCUACCCCGUGGCCCUUCGCAGACCCUGACUGGAGCAGCUGCUACAUCAAAACAAGAAAAUAAAGCAAGAAACCAAGAGGUGUGCUGUGCGCUCCAUUCAACAUGGAUGAGAAGUGAAGAAACUGACUGAGGGCUGGGUCACCGCUCAGUGUGGACCUGGGUUCGAUCUCCAGUGCUAGGGGGAAAAAAAAAACAACCCUGAAAAAGAAACAAAACAUAACCAUAGCAGACUAAACUGCUCAGCUGUGAAUAACAGGUACAGAGACAUAACUGCAGACAGAAUAAGCUGGUUUCCACCAACCCCAGCACGUAUGGUCCAUCUCCCUGUAUCUCCAAUGACUGCUUUCCAGAUGCCUGGUGGCCUCAGUUAUCCUGGCUUGCUGUUGGUUAAAUAGGAAUUGUGUGAAUGAAAUCCAGUUAGUAAGUCAAUACAUUAAAUAAAUUCAUUAAAUAUUGAAUUAAAUUAUCAAUGUAACCCAUUCAUGGUGAGUGAUUGUGCAUGCCUGUAGUAGUAGCAGUUAAUAGGGAGGCUGAGGCAGGAGGAUCACUUGAACCCCCAAGUUUAAGUCUACCCUAGUCAAUAUAGCCGGAC